GCCAGGUGUGGUGGCGCACACCUGUAAUCCAAGCUACUUGAGAAGCUGAGGCAGGAGGAUCACAAGUUGGAGGUUAGUCGGGGCAACUUUGUGAGAUCCUGUCUCAA
rnacentral:sRNA from 1 species